rnacentral:rRNA from 1 species
AACGAACGCUGGCGGCAUGCCUAACACAUGCAAGUCGAACGAGACCUUCGGGUCUAGUGGCGCACGGGUGCGUAACGCGUGGGAACCUGCCCUUAGGUUCGGAAUAACUCCCCGAAAGGGGUGCUAAUACCGGCUAAUGUCUUCGGACCAAAGAUUGAUCGCCUUUGGAUGGGCCCGCGUUGGAUUAGCUAGUUGGUAGGGUAAAAGCCUACCAAGGCGACGAUCCAUAGCUGGUCUGAGAGGAUGAUCAGCCACACUGGGACUGAGACACGGCCCAGAAUCCUACGGGAGGCAGCAGUGGGGAAUAUUGGACAAGGGGCGAAAGCCUGAUACAGCAAUGCCGCGUGAGUGAUGAAGGCCUUAGGGUUGUAAAGCUCUUUUACCCGGGAUGAUAAUGACAGUACCGGGAGAAUAAGCUCCGGCUAACUCCGUG